GACUUCGUAGCUCAGUGGCCAGAGCAUGCGAUUGCAGUUGGCUCAGUAUCGCAGGGUCACGUGUUCGAACCACGUCGAGGUCU